rnacentral:rRNA from 1 species
UAGCCUGAUGCAGCGACGCCGCGUGGGGGAUGACGGCCUUCGGGUUGUAAACUCCUUUCGCUAGGGACGAAGCGAAAGUGACGGUACCUGCAGAAGAAGCACCGGCCAACUACGUGCCAGCAGCCGCGGUAAU